UCCAACUUAACGCUGGCAGUCUCUUCAGAGUGCGCAUCUUUACAUGCUCGCAACUGAAAAUAGGGGUUGCGCUCGUUAUGGGACUUAACCCAACAUCUCACGACACGAGCUGACGACAACCAUGCAGCACCUGUCUUGGGGCUCCUCGCGGCACUUCUUCCUCUCAGAAAAAUUCCCCAGAUGUCAAACGUAGGUAAGGUUCUUCGCGUUGCAUCGAAUUAAACCACAUGCUCCACCGCUUGUGCGGGCCCCCGUCAAUUCCUUUGAGUUUUAACCUUGCGGCCGUACUCCCCAGGCGGAAUACUUAUCGCGUUAGCUGCGACACACAUGGACUGUCUUCCACGUACAUCUAGUAUUCAUCGUUUACUGCGUGGACUAC
rnacentral:misc_RNA from 1 species